CUUAAAACCACAACGCCAACUCAGUCGCCACUCUCAGCUGCCGUGACUUUCGCCGCUCAUCACUGUCGCAACCUCGCCUUUUCAAGCGGAAAUCCACCACGCAAACCUCGCUGAAACUGACUGCCGCUCCAUACAUUACGACGGAAUAUGAUAUAAGUGGUUAUUUUCGGAAAGAGUGUUUUACUGCUUCUGAGUUGCUGCGUUUCUGGUUCCUUGCACAACCCUUACCUUAAUCUGAAGAGAUGGCAGAAACAAGUAAAGAUCUUUUGCAGUUAGAGGACAACAAUUCCACUUCCUCAUCCAUAGAAUCUGCACUUCUUGUUUGCAACAAGUAGUCCCAUUCUUAGUUGAAGAAACCAAACCCAGAUGAAAAACCUGUGUUUAAUCCUCUUCUCCGAAGCCAAGUUCUAGGAAAAGUGAAGGAUUUCUUGGGAAUGAUGUCAGAAGCUAAUAAAAGGCUCCAGCUUGAUGCAAAGGAAAAAGCUCAAGAUUAUGAUAUUGAAGUACUCACUGGAAAUGAAUCUGAAGUUAUUGAGAUGGUAACUGAGGGUUUCUCACUUUCUGUCUCUCUUCAUACUUUGUUAUGGCUUACAACAUGUGGCAGCCAAGUUAUAGCAUGAUUUCGGGGUGCAUCUUAGUGACAGGAUCUAAUGCUAGGUGUAGCUGAUCUUCAUACACCAGAAACUGUAAUGGCUGCUGAAUCAGCUAUUGCCGGUAACCAGCCAAUGAUUCCUUUUGCUGCCAGCAGAAGUGGAACAGACUCUGAAGGUAGCAGUGAAGAUAGUGGCGACGACGAUGACGACUAAGACGAAGAUGAUGACCACAACGAUGAUGACGAUGAAGAUGAUGAAUAUAGUGAC